rnacentral:rRNA from 1 species
UACGUAGGGGGCGAGCGUUGUCCGGAAUCAUUGGGCGUAAAGCGCGCGCAGGCGGCGCUGAGAGCCCGGCGUGAAAGCCCCCGGCUCAACCGGGGGAGGCCGUCGGGGACCUCAGGCUGGAGGCCGGCAGGGGUGAGCGGAAUUCCCGGUGUAGUGGUGGAAUGCGUAGAGAUCGGGAGGAAGGCCGGUGGCGAAGGCGGCGCUCUGGAACAUUUCUGACGCUGAGGCUCGAAAGCGUGGGGAGCAAACAGG